UAGUUUAAAUGAUGAAAACGACAUAUUUACCAGUUAUCCCUGUCAGACAAUGAUGUGGUGAUACAAUUAUUCUGAUAUGAUA
rnacentral:snoRNA from 1 species